GGGCGAUUGGCGCAGUGGUAGCGCGCUUCCCUGACACGGAAGAGGUCGCUGGUUCGAACCCAGUAUCGCCCAC
rnacentral:tRNA from 1 species